GACGAACGCUGGCGGCGUGCUUAACACAUGCAAGUCGAACGGAAAGGCCCUGCUUUUGUGGGGUGCUCGAGUGGUGAACGGGUGAGUAACACGUGAGUAACCUGCCCUUGACUUUGGGAUAACUUCAGGAAACUGGGGCUAAUACCGGAUAGGAGCUCCUGCUGCAUGGUGGGGGUUGGAAAGUUUCGGCGGUUGGGGAUGGACUCGCGGCUUAUCAGCUUGUUGGUGGGGUAGUGGCUUACCAAGGCUUUGACGGGUAGCCGGCCUGAGAGGGUGACCGGCCACAUUGGACUGAGAUACGGCCCAGACUCCUACGGGAGGCAGCAGUGGGGAAUAUUGCACAAUGGGCGGAAGCCUGAUGCAGCAACGCCGCGUGCGGGAUGACGGCCUUCGGGUUGUAAACCGCUUUCGCCUGUGACGAAGCGUGAGUGACGGUAAUGGGUAAAGAAGCACCGGCUAACUACGUG
rnacentral:rRNA from 1 species